UACGGGGGGGGCAAGCGUUGUUCGGAAUUACUGGGCGUAAAGGGCUCGUAGGUGGCCAACUAAGUCAGACGUGAAAUCCCUCGGCUUAACCGGGGAACUGCGUCUGAUACUGGUUGGCUUGAAUCCGGGAGAGGGAUGUGGAAUUCCAGGUGUAGCGGUGAAAUGCGUAGAUAUCUGGAGGAACACCGGUGGCGAAGGCGGCUCUCUGGGACGGUACUGACGCUGAGACGCGAAAGCGGUGGGGAGCGAACAGG
rnacentral:rRNA from 1 species